UCUGGAAUUAGAUAAAUUAAUUUUAAUUUGUAUUAAUCAAUGUGGUGUAUUUGGUUUUGGUUUGGUUCUUGGUUAGAAUUGAAAUUUAAAAAAUAGUGAGAGCCAGCUACAUGACGAAGCUUGUGUUUUUCACGCGUUUUCUAUAUGUUAUGUACAUUAAUAUAUUAAGUUCAGAGUCUUAACGGAAAGAAAGUUUGUUUCGGCCGGAUUGAUUUGUUGGUUAAUUCGGGGACGAUGGAUCUCUCUCAAUUUUUGUUAUGACAACUGUGGAAAACAUAGAGAGAAUUGUGCGUAUUUUCAAAAUUGUGGAUGCCACUGAUUUUCACCCCUUGUGAGUCGGAGGCAAAUUUUGUAAAUACAAUGUUAACCGUCUGAUAUCACAGUAGUCGGGAUGCAAAAUUUGGUUACUUCAGCACUUAUAGUCUCUGACUUAUCAAGUCGGACGGACAGGCAGACAUAGCUGUAUCGACUCGAUUAUUAUCAUGCUAAUCAGAGUAAGAAGAUUAAAACAAUUACGUAUACCUUCGAAACUGAUGGCUCUCCGGAUGUGUUUUCAUCAGAAACUGCCUGAGUAUGGACAUUUGUUAAAAUAAAAUAAUGUAAUGUA